UACGGAGGAUGCGAGCGUUAUCCGGAUUUACUGGGUGUAAAGGGAGCGUAGGCGGCUUAGUAAGUCAGAAGUGAAAGCCCGCAGCUCAACUGCGGGACUGCUUUUGAAACUGGCGGGCUUGGGUGCCGGAGAGGCAAGCGGAAUUCCUAGUGUAGCGGUGAAAUGCGUAGAUAUUAGGAGGAACACCAGUGGCGAAGGCGGUCUGCUGGACAGCAACUGACGCUGAGGCGCGAAAGCGUGGGGAGCAAACAGG
rnacentral:rRNA from 1 species